CCCCACUCAGGAUCGCAUCUGGAGAGUGUCCAGUACACUACCAGUGACGGCUAUGGGAGGGACAGUCAAGCAGAGGCAAACCCAUUCCAUUCCUAGCUUGGGCAGUGGCUAGUGAGUGGAAGGCAAUCUGCUACAAGU